ensembl:lncRNA
GAGACAAGUCACAACACAACAGAGACAAGCUGCAACACAAUGGAAACAAGCCACAACACAAUGGAAACAAGUGAAACAAGUCACAACAAAAAGAAAUUAACACAAAACAAUGGAGACAAGCAAAACAAGUCGCAACACUAUGGAGACAAGACACAACACAAUGGACACAUGCCACAACACAAUGGUAAAAAGCCACAACUCAAUGGAGACAAGCCACAACAAAAUAGAGACAAGCCGCAACACAAUGGAGACAAGCCACUACACAAUGGAAACAAGCCACAACACAAUGGAAACAAGUCUUAACAGAAAGAAAUUAGCACAACACUAUGGGAAAAAGCCACAACUCAAUGGAGACAAGCCACAACACAAUGGAGACAAGCCACAACACAAUGGAGACAAGCCCCAACACAAUGGAGACAAGACAAGCCUUAACACAAUGGAGAAAAGCCGCAGCACAAUGGAGUUAAGCAGCUACACAAAGGAGACAAGUCACAACACAAUGGAGACAAGCCGCAACACAACGGAGACAAGCCACAACACAAUGGAGACAAGAUAAGCUGCAACACAAUGGAGACAAGACAAGCCGCAACACAAUGGAGAAAAGCCACAACACAACGGAGACAAGCCGCAACACAACGUAGACAAGCCACAACACAAUGGUAACAAGUGAAACAAGUCACAACACAAUGGAGACAAACCGCAACACAAAAGAGACAAGCUACAACACAAUGGAAACAAGACUAAACACAAAGAAAUUAGCACAACACUAUGGAAAAAAGCCACAACUCAAUGGAGACAAGCCACAACACAAUGUAAACACGUGAAACUAGUCGCAACACAAAGAAAUUAACUCAACACAAUGGAGACAAGCCCCAACACAAUGGAGACAAGAUAAGCCGCAACACAAUGGAGAUAAGCUGCUACACAAUGGAGACAAGUCUCAACACAAUGGAAACAAGCCACUACACAAAGGAGACAAGCCGCAACACAGUGGUGACAAGCCGCAACACAACGGAGACAAGCCACAACAGAAUUCAGACACGACACAACACACUGCAGACAAAGCACAACACAAUGGAAACAAGCCUCAACACAAAGAAAUUAGCGCAACACAAUACAAACAAGUUGCAACACAACGGAGACAAGCUGCAAAACAAGGGAAACAAGCCACAACACAGUGGAAACAAGCCACAACACAAAGGAAACAAGACAAGCCGCAACACAACGGGGACAAGCCGCAACACAAUGUAAACAAGCGAAACAAGUCGCAAAACAAAGUAAACAAGUCUCAAUACAAAGAAAUUAGCACAACACUAUGGAAAAAAGCCACAACUCAAUGGAGACAAGCCACAACAAACCAGAAACAAGCCGCAACACAAAAGAGACAAGCUACAACACAAUGGAAACAAGUGAAACAAGUCACAACACAAUGGAGACAAGAUAAGCCGCAACACAAUGGAGACAAGAUAAGCCGCAACACAAUGGAGACAAACAAAACAAGUCGCAACACUAUGGAAACAAGACACAACACAAUGGAGACAAUCAAACAAGACGCAACACAAUGGAAACAAUUCACAUUUCAAUGGAGACGAGCUGCAACUCAAUGGUGACAAGCCGCAACACAACGUAGACAAGCCACAACACAAUGGUAACAAGUGAAACAAGUCACAACACAAAGAACACAGCAAAACACACAACAAACAAGUUGCAACAGAAUAAAGACAAGCCGAAACACA